ACAGAUGCAGCGACAUGUAUUGCAUUUGCCAAGGAAGCAAUUAACAGAUGUUUUAAGAAGGACACUAACAUCCAAAUACAGUAAUGGAGAAACCUUGACUAUUCAAGAAACAAGGGAGAAGUUGAAGUUGCUGGUAGGAGGAGCACAGACAACGUGGGGAUCAUCUACAGCUGACUCUCAUGUAGCCCCUAUUGCAACCAGCCAGGAUGAUAUACCACCAAGAACAAUGGCUCAUAGCUUUCGGAAGGUCAUUAUUCCCCUUGGCACCAACCCAAUGCUAAAGGAGAAAUAUAUCAAUUUCUACCAAGGAAUCAGAUUUGGGAGGAUUCUGGAAGACCUGGACACAUUUGCAGUUGACAUUAGUUACGCGCACUCCCACGAUUCUGCACACGCUGAUAUGAAGUCACCACUCAGGGUUGUCACAGCUCUGGUGGACAGAAUAGCAUAUUUUCCAAUUGAACCGCUCAAACAGUAAAGCACGUCGAUGAAGUGGGGGAAUGGCAUCGAAGGGCCAGAAGUCGUCACAUUGGGUUUAAACCUUAGUCGGCAUUCAACCGUGUGCAUGACAGGUGGUGUCGAAAUUGGUCUAUAGCUCUGCCUGAACUGCUGUCCAAUUGGUUUACAAGUCCGGCUGAAGUGACAGGCCAUCAAAAACUGCACAGUAUGACUGAUUCGGAUACGGCCCUCAACACUCGCCCAGUCGUGUCGAGAGGAUCGGUGUCUUUGCCGAUUACACGGAAUUGAGCACCCGGGCCAGACUGACACUUUCCGGAGCCUGUCCGAGACGGAACUCGAGCCAAGGAAUCAUAGGUCCAGGUGGUGUCGAAAUUGGUCUAUAGCUCUGCCUGAACUGCGUUCCAAUUGGUUUACAAGUCCGGCUGAAGUGACAGGCCAUCAAAAACUGCACAGUAUGACUGAUUCGGAGACGGCCCUCACCAUUCGCCCAGUCGUGUCGAGAGGAUCGGUGUCUUUGCCGAUUACACGGAAUUGAGCACCCGGGCCAGACUGACACUUUCCGGAGCCUGUCCGAGACGGAACUCGAGCCGAGGAAUCAUAGGUCCAGGUGUGACAGAAAACUUAAAGCUCAUGUCUGACGAUGACUUUUUUUGAGUCAGGAAGUAAGGUAUGUUUUUUUUCCAUGCAAGCAAGCCCUUUUGUUGGGUCAAAUGACAUCAGAAAUGCUGCUUCUACAUGGAUUUUACCUAAAAUGUGCCAAAAAAUAAAAAAAAAAGUUUGUUUGAAUCUUGUUCAAAACUUGCUAUGAUGCACAUAUAAUGCCAUUGAUGAUUUUUUUUUCACUUAUUAAGUCAUAUGUUACAUCUGAUUUGCUAUUAGAAUCGAAAGUGAUGCCCUGUAUGGAGUCUAAGUGCUGCAUGUAUGAUGUAACCAAUGUCGGCCUUUCUACCUUAAUUCUUGACGCGAAACGCUUGUUACGCGUGACGCUUUCAACACUAACUGUAAUGAAUAAAUCUGUGUGUCAUGGUACUGGAACUUUGUGAUCUUUGUUAAAACAGAUUAUACCUAUGGAAAAAGUGCCUUUAAUUCAAAUUUGAAGGUGUUGGGUUCCCUUAUAGGUUACAUAACCCUAAACGGAAGUGGAAU